GCGCAGGAAAAGAAACCAACAGGGAUUGCCUUAGUAACUGCGAGUGAAGCGGCAAAAGCUCAAAUUUGAAAUCUGGCGUCUUCAGCGUCCGAGUUGUAAUUUGGAGAGAUUUCUUCGGGGUGAACACCGGUCCAAGUUCCUUGGAACAGGACGUCACAGAGGGUGAGAAUCCCGUGUCUGACCGGUUGCUUCAUUCCAUGUGAAGAGUCUUCGACGAGUCGAGUUGUUUGGGAAUGCAGCUCAAAAUGGGUGGUAAAUUUCAUCUAAAGCUAAAUAUUGGCGAGAGACCGAUAGCGCACAAGUAGAGUGAUCGAAAGAUGAAAAGCACUUUGAAAAGAGAGUUAAAAAGUACGUGAAAUUGUUGAAAGGGAAGCGCUUGAGACCAGACUCAAUUUGUGGUGAACAUCAGUCCUUCUGGGCUGUGCACUUGCCACUUUUUGGGCCAGCAUCGGUUCUGACCGUGUGAUAAAGGUCCUGGGAAUGUAGCUCCUCUCGGGGAGUGUUAUAGCCCACGGCGUAAUGACAUGAGUUGGGACCGAGGACCGCGCUUCGGCUAGGAUGCUGGCAUAAUGGUCUUCAGCAACCCGUCUUGAAACACAGACCAAGGAGUCUAAUAUCUAUGCAAGUGUGCGGGUGGAAAACCCUUGCUUGAAAUGUAAAUGAUCGGACGUGGGAGUCCCUCCUAGUGGGGCAACCCCUGAUGC
rnacentral:rRNA from 1 species